rnacentral:tRNA from 1 species
GGAGAGGUGUCCGAGUGGUUUAAGGAGCUGGUCUUGAAAAACCAGUGACUUCGAAAGGGGCCGUGGGUUCGAAUCCCACCCUCUCCGCCA